GAUGAACGCUGGCGGCGUGCCUAAUACAUGCAAGUCGAGCGAAUGGAUUAAGAGCUUGCUCUUAUGAAGUUAGCGGCGGACGGGUGAGUAACACGUGGGUAACCUGCCCAUAAGACUGGGAUAACUCCGGGAAACCGGGGCUAAUACCGGAUAACAUUUUGAACCGCAUGGUUCGAAAUUGAAAGGCGGCUUCGGCUGUCACUUAUGGAUGGACCCGCGUCGCAUUAGCUAGUUGGUGAGGUAACGGCUCACCAAGGCAACGAUGCGUAGCCGACCUGAGAGGGUGAUCGGCCACACUGGAACUGAGACACGGCCCAGACUCCUACGGGAGGCAGCAGUAGGGAAUCAUCCGCAAUGGACGAAAGUCUGACGGAGCAACGCCGCGUGAGUGAUGAAGGCUUUCGGGUCGUAAAACUCUGUUGUUAGGGAAGAACAAGUGCUAGUUGAAUAAGCUGGCACCUUGACGGUACCUAACCAGAAAGCCACGGCUAACUACGUGCCAGCAGCCGCAGUAA
rnacentral:rRNA from 1 species